CUUGACGGUGCCGAGCCACAGCGGGCGGCCGGCUUCCCGUUCCUGGCCGUACGUGGCGAGCAGCGCCUGGGCCUC
rnacentral:antisense_RNA from 3 species